GUAAGGAAUAUUGGUCAAUGGGGGCAACCCUGAACCAGCCAUGCCGCGUGAAGGAUGAAGGCGUUAUGCGUUGUAAACUUCUUUUGUAUGGGAAGAAUGACAGGGAUUUAUCCUUGGAGAGACGGUACCAUACGAAUAAGCACCGGCUAACUCCGUGCCAGCAGCCGCGGUAAUACGGAGGGUGCAAGCGUUAUCCGGAUUCACUGGGUUUAAAGGGUGUGUAGGCGGGCUUGUAAGUCAGGGGUGAAAUCCUACAGCUUAACUGUAGAACUGCCUUUGAUACUAUAGGUCUUGAAUAUUGUUGAGGUGGGCGGAAUACAUCAUGUAGCGGUGAAAUGCUUAGAUAUGAUGUAGAACACCGAUUGCGAAGGCAGCUCACUAAGCAAAUAUUGACGCUGAGGCACGAAAGCGUGGGGAUCAAACAGGAUUAGAAACCCUUGUAGUCC
rnacentral:rRNA from 1 species